AUCCAGAUGAAGAGUCCAAAGUAGAACGAAACGAGCGUUGUGGAU
rfam:Schistosoma rodhaini strain Burundi genome assembly, scaffold: SROB_scaffold0007291